rnacentral:rRNA from 1 species
GAGCGGCGAACGGGUGAGUAACACGUGAGUAACCUGCCCCUGACUCUGGGAUAAGCCCGGGAAACUGGGUCUAAUACCGGAUACGACACCUCCUGGCAUCGGGUGGGUGUGGAAAGUUUUUUCGGUUGGGGAUGGACUCGCGGCCUAUCAGCUUGUUGGUGGGGUAAUGGCCUACCAAGGCGACGACGGGUAGCCGGCCUGAGAGGGCGACCGGCCACACUGGGACUGAGACACGGCCCAGACUCCUACGGGAGGCAGCAGUGGGGAAUAUUGCGCAAUGGGCGAAAGCCUGACGCAGCGACGCCGCGUGGGGGAUGACGGCCUUCGGGUUGUAAACCUCUUUCAGCAGGGACGAAGUUGACGUGUACCUGCAGAAGAAGCGCCGGCUAACUACGUGCCAGCAGCCGCGGUAAUACGUAGGGCGCAAGCGUUGUCCGGAAUUAUUGGGCGUAAAGAGCUCGUAGGUGGCUUGUCACGUCGGGUGUGAAAGCUUGGGGCUUAACUCCAGGUCUGCAUUCGAUACGGGCUGGCUAGAG